rfam:Ralstonia pickettii 12J chromosome 1, complete sequence.
UCCUAUGGCCGGGCCUUGGUGAGGGAGCGCUCGCGCUCGCCGGUUUCCUGUAUCGCCGGUACGCCAACCUUGCCUUGUGCCCGGCCACCCCG